AUUGAACGCUGGCGGAAUGCUUUACACAUGCAAGUCGAACGGCAGCACGGACUUCGGUCUGGUGGCGAGUGGCGAACGGGUGAGUAAUGUAUCGGAACGUGCCCAGUCGUGGGGGAUAACGUAGUGAAAAUUACGCUAAUACCGCAUACGAUCUAUGGAUGAAAGCGAGGGAUCGCAAGACCUCGCGCGAUUGGAGCGGCCGAUAUCAGAUUAGGUAGGUGGUGGGGUAAAGGCCCACCAAGCCAACGAUCUGUAGCUGGUCUGAGAGGACGACCAGCCACACUGGAACUGAGACACGGUCCAGACUCCUACGGGAGUCAGCAGUGGGGAAUUUUGGACAAUGGGCGAAAGCCUGAUCCAGCCAUUCCGCGUGCAGGAUGAAGGCCCUCGGGUUGUAAACUGCUUUUGUACAGAACGAAAAGGUUUCUACUAAUACUAGGAGCUCAUGACGGUACUGUAAGAAUAAGCACCGGCUAACUACGUGCCAGCAGCCGCCGUAA
rnacentral:rRNA from 1 species